AGCACCGACACGUUAGCCCCAUCUUUAGGUCAAGUGAAAAGUUUAUUUAAAGCAUCGAAACUACAACCUCCUUCCUCCAGGAAGUGUGUCCAGUUUUCUCCUUCAAGAGCGUAUAAAAGCGUGAAAUGUCUGGAAUGGAUUGAAAAUGGGCAAAGGGAUAUAAGAUAUUGGCAUGAGAUUCUCUAAGGACUAAACAACACAAUCCAGCUAAGAUAUGAAGGUUCCUGUUACAUAAAAAACCAAACCCA